CAACCAAACCAACCACAAAAAGAACCUCAAGUAGCCUUUCUACUCCCCCCCCCAAACCAAAUCAAUCACCAUGACUCCCUGCUCUUGCAACUCCUGCGGCUGCUCCAGCGACUGCAACGGCUGCUCCUGCUCCUCCUGCGGCGUAAGUUCCC
rnacentral:sRNA from 1 species